rnacentral:rRNA from 1 species
GACGAACGCUGGCGGUGUGCUUAACACAUGCAAGUCGAACGGUAAGGCCCUUUCGGGGGUACACGAGUGGCGAACGGGGGAGUAACACGUGAGUAACCUGCCCUCAUCUCUGGGAUAACAGUCGGAAACGGUUGCUAAUACUGGAGAUGAGCUUGCAAGGCAUCUUGUGGGUUGGAAAGAUUUUUUUGGUUGGGGAUGGACUCGCGGCCUAUCAGCUUGUUGGUGAGGUAGUGGCUCACCAAGGCUUCGACGGGUAGCCGGCCUGAGAGGGCGACCGGCCACAUUGGGACUGAGAUACGGCCCAAACUCCUACGGGAGGCAGCAGUGGGGAAUAUUGCACAAUGGACGGGAGUCUGAUGCAGCAACGCCGCGUGCGGGAUGACGGCCUUCGGGUUGUAAACCGCUUUCAAUUGUGACGAAGCUUUUUGUGACGGUAGCAGUAGAAGAAGCACCGGCUAACUACGUG